UACGUAGGGGGCUAGCGUUGUCCGGAUUUAUUGGGCGUAAAGAGCUCGUAGGCGGCUCAUUGCGUCAACCGUGAAAACCUGCCGCUCAACGGUAGGCUUGCGGUUGAUACGGGUGGGCUGGAGUUCGGUAGGGGAGACUGGAAUUCCUGGUGUAGCGGUGAAAUGCGCAGAUAUCAGGAGGAACACCGGUGGCGAAGGCGGGUCUCUGGGCCGAUACUGACGCUGAGGAGCGAAAGCGUGGGGAGCGAACAGG
rnacentral:rRNA from 1 species